rnacentral:rRNA from 1 species
GCACAACGCGAAGAACCUUACCUGGUCUUGACAUAGUAAGAACUUUCCAGAGAUGGAUUGGUGCCUUCGGGAACUUACAUACAGGUGCUGCAUGGCUGUCGUCAGCUCGUGUCGUGAGAUGCUGGGUUAAGUCCCGCAACGAGCGCAACCCUUUCCUAUUUGCCAGCGGGUUAAGCCGGGAACUUUAAGGAUACUGCCAGUGACAAACUGGAGGAAGGCGGGGACGACGUCAAGUCAUCAUGGCCCUUACGACCAGGGCUACACACGUGCUACGAAUGGUCGGUACAAAGGGUUGCUACCUAGCGAUAGGAUGCUAAUCUCAAAAAGCCGAUCGUAGUCCGGAUUGGAGUCUGCAACUCGACUCCAUGAAGUCGGAAUCGCUAGUAAUCGCGGAUCAGAAUGCCGCGGUGAAUACGUUCCCGGGUCUUGUACACACCG